AAAUAGCCUGACGUCACACGGCGCCAUGUUUGUGCUCACUGUUUUAUGUCUGUUGCUUUGUCGAUUGACCUGAUUUAUCCUAUGACAAGCAGUGUUUUGUGCAACAUCAUGAGAUGUGUGGAUAAAAACAAUAGUCCUAUUCUUUUGAAAGUAAUCGUUGGUAUAAUUUAACUUGCAUUUUUACACAAUAAAGUGUCCAUCAUUUUUUUAAUAAAUGAUACUCAUUUUAUAUAGAUGAGUAGGAUUAAUGUUAAGAUAUUAAAAUAUCGAUAUGUGUUG
rnacentral:misc_RNA from 1 species